rnacentral:rRNA from 1 species
UUAGGAAUUUUGCGCAAUGGGGGAAACCCUGACGCAGCAACGCCGCGUGGAGGAUGAAGGCUUUCGGGUUGUAAACUCCUUUUAGCAGGGAAGAAAAAAAUGACGGUAUCUGCAGAAAAAGCACCGGCUAACUCUGUGCCAGCAGCCGCGGUAAUACAGAGGGUGCAAGCGUUAUUCGGAAUCACUGGGCGUAAAGAGCUCGUAGGCGGUUAAUUAAGUCAUAUGUGAAAGCCCUGGGCUCAAUCCAGGACGUGCAUCUGAUACUGAUUGACUGGAGUGCAGGAGAGGAAAGCGGAAUUCCAGGUGUAGAGGUGAAAUUCGUAGAUAUCUGGAGGAACAACAGAAGCGAAGGCAGCUUUCUGGACUGUCACUGACGCUGAGGAGCGAAAGCGUGGGGAGCAAACAGG